UACAGAGGGUGCAAGCGUUAAUCGGAAUUACUGGGCGUAAAGCGUGCGUAGACGGUUAUGUAAGUCGGGUGUGAAAGCCCCGGGCUCAACCUGGGAAUGCCAUUCGAGACUGCAUAGCUAGGGUGCGGAAGAGGGAAGCGGAAUUUCCGGUGUAGCGGUGAAAUGCGUAGAUAUCGGAAGGAACACCAGUGGCGAAGGCGGCGCUCUGGACCGAGACUGACGCUGAGGCGCGAAAGCGUGGGGAGCAAACAGG
rnacentral:rRNA from 1 species